GACGAACGCUGGCGGCGUGCCUAAUACAUGCAAGUAGAACGCUGAAGGAGGAGCUUGCUUCUCCGGAUGAGUUGCGAACGGGUGAGUAACGCGUAGGUAACCUGCCUGGUAGCGGGGGAUAACUAUUGGAAACGAUAGCUAAUACCGCAUAACAGUAGAUGUUGCAUGACAUUUGCUUAAAAGGUGCAAUUGCAUCACUACCAGAUGGACCUGCGUUGUAUUAGCUAGUUGGUGGGGUAACGGCUCACCAAGGCGACGAUACAUAGCCGACCUGAGAGGGUGAUCGGCCACACUGGGACUGAGACACGGCCCAGACUCCUACGGGAGGCAGCAGUAGGGAAUCUUCGGCAAUGGACGGAAGUCUGACCGAGCAACGCCGCGUGAGUGAAGAAGGUUUUCGGAUCGUAAAGCUCUGUUGUAAGAGAAGAACGAGUGUGAGAGUGGAAAGUUCACACU
rnacentral:rRNA from 1 species